rnacentral:misc_RNA from 1 species
GACAGGAUCAACCGAAUAAUGACGAGGCUUGAUUUCUCCACCGCAUGUGGAGACGCUCCWAACGUCCAUUGCUCGGAUUUUGGCCCACGGCAUGCGGUAUCGCACGGGAGACCAACUUCCGUCCCUUAGCCAAAAGGAUGGGGGGGACGACGAUUUGUGACCCCCGGGCCGACGUGCCCCCGGCCACAAGGCUUGGGGCGCAUCUUGCGUUCAAACACUCAAUGGUUCAGGGGAUUCUGGCUUUCACACCAAGUAUCGCAUUUCACUACUUUCUUCAUCGAUGCUAGAGCCGAGAUAUCCGUUGCCGAAAGUCGUUUUAUACUUUACAUGGUGUSUAAGCAUCCGCCCACACACCGU